CCUACGGGUGGCAGCAGUAGGGAAUUUUGCGCAAUGGGGGAAACCCUGAUGCAGCAACGCCGCGUGAUCGAUGAAGGCCUUCGGGGCGUAAAGAUCUGUCAGUGGGGACGAAAGCUGACGCUAUCCAUAGAGGAAGAACCGGCUAACUCUGGGCCAGAAGCCGCGGUAAUAUGGGGGGUGCAAGCGUUGUCCGGAAGUAUGGGGGGUAAAGGGUUAGUAGGUGGUACGUUAAGUCAGGUGGUAAAGGCGGGGGCUCAACUUCAGUAGGGCACUGGAUACUGGCGAGCUUGAGGACGGGAGAGGUAAGCGGAAUUCCUGGUGUAGCGGUGAAAUGCGUAGAUAUCAGGAAGAACACCGGUGGCGAAGGCGGCUUUCUGGACUGAAACUGACACUGAGGAACGAAAGCGUGGGUAGCAAAUAGGAUUAGAUACCCCAGUAGUC
rnacentral:rRNA from 1 species